rnacentral:rRNA from 1 species
UGGGUAACCUGCCUCAAAGAGGGGAAUAGCCUCCCGAAAGGGAGAUUAAUACCGCAUAAUAUGUUUUAAUCGCACGAUUUUAACAUCAAAGGAUUUUCUUCGGAACUUCCACUUUGAGAUGGACCCGCGGCGCAUUAGCUAGUUGGUGAGGUAACGGCUCACCAAGGCAACGAUGCGUAGCCGACCUGAGAGGGUGAUCGGCCACAUUGGAACUGAGACACGGUCCAGACUCCUACGGGNGCAG